CACACACAGUCGUCUUAACGAUGAAGUUUUUAUAUAUCUUGUUGAUUUUCUUUGUGUUCGGCUGUAGUUAUGGGCAAGAUAUUGCGAAUGGAGCUGCUGCUGGGCCAUACCGCCCAUUAGUUCCUGUUGAAUAUAUUAUAAACAAUAGCAAUGAGGACGCCAAUUUAGCAGGCAAGCCUGUAGUUCCUCCAUCUUUAGGGACUUACAUUCACCUACAAAACUUAUAUGACAUGAAUAAAGCAGCUGCCGAAAGGAAAAAAACCGAUCAACAAGUGAAAAUCUGAGAACCUUAAAUUAGCCAAGUUUGGAUCAAAACAUUAGAAACUAAAAUGAUUUAAGAUAAAAAAUAAAAUGAUCAGCAUUAAAAUACU